rnacentral:lncRNA from 12 species
CCAGCCAGCACGGGCGCCUAAUCUAAGGCAGCGCGUGCUCCAGCAGAGGGUGUUCGCAGGGUGCCGAGAACCGGGGCACCUGGGUUUGAAGGACAGAGCUCAGGGAGGAUUUGUCCGUGUUCACAGGCAGGGCAGGGCGGGGGGCGCUAAAGGGACCUGGGCGCCCGGUGAGGAAGCGGCGGCUCGGGGACAAAGGGCCGCGGCGGCUUGGCACCGCUUGCCCACCUGCUGCGCCCGGGCCGGACCGAGCAACGCCGGGCUGCCUGGCGGCCAGUCGGUUUAUCGUGAGCCCACGGGUGUGUGAGUGAGCCGACCCCGGGGUGGAAACUCUCCUGAGAAGCUCCGGCUGUGUUCUCCAGGCAGCCGUUCCUUCGGGAGAGAGCUGAGCCCCCAGAUGCUAAGCAGAGGACGGAUGUGGUUCCAUCUGGUGGACGAGGGCGACUGAGACGCGGUACCGGCUCCUGUGUCGGGGCCCCUGCAGGCCUGGCUCCAGGCCCAGCUCCUCUGCCUGCAAGCUCUGUGAGUGCAAACAGGCUACUGCAUCUAAGACCCAGUUUAAAAAAAAAAGGGCGGGGGGGAUUGUGCUCAAUAAGGAGGGUAUUUGGAGAAUUUCGCGCUCUGCUUCCCAUGGAGCAAACCCUCGGGGUAGCAGCUCCUCCGUCACCAGCUGUGGGAAAAGCAUCAGGGCUGCAGGUGGGACCUCGUCACCUGGCUCCCAAGGUGACCAGGGCAGGACCCUGUUCUACCUUCCGUAGAAGGAACCACUGA